GAUGCAGCAAGACUUUUGAAGAAUUUUGUUCUUGCCAUUAGUUUCCUUGUGAUGGACUUUUGGGUUGAAGAUACAGAUGCUAAACUGGAUGAAUUAAAUGCAAUGGGUUAAACUAGGCCCUGAGGUAGCGAGGGCCUUAUGGCCACAUUGAAUCAACAGAGAAUCAAGGCAUCACCCAGAAGUGAACAGCUCCAGCAUUACAAUCACUUUCUGAGCCAAUCCUGAAAGAUAUGGUUAAAGGACAAUCUUCACAGUGGGUAAAACUGUGGGCAGUACACAUGCUAUUACACUUUCUUUGGAAGAAGAAAUGACCAGAUGAAAGACUGUUCGAUGACACAUGGUCUAUAGCCAAUGGAUUGGCUGGAUGGUCGGGGAUUUAAAAAGAUCACAAUUGGAAAAUUGACAAGAAUGACAUCUGGGAAAGAAGUAUGUGGAUAGAUCUCUCCAAAUGGGCUAAAAUGUAAAGGUAUUUGUAUCCCAUGUAAAUGCUCACCAAAAUGUCAGUUCUGCUGAUGAAGAGUUCAAUCAUCAAGUGGAUCAGAUGACAUAUUAUGUGGACAAGAAGUCUGUUUCCCCAGCCAUUCCAUCAUUGCUCAAAGGAAACAUGAAAUAAGAGGCCAUGGUGGCUGAAAUUGGGGUUAUCCUCAAACUCAACAACAUCGAAUUGUACUCACCAAGGCUGACUCGGCUACUGCAGUUGCCAGAUCUGCUGACAGCAGAAAACAACACUGAGCCCAAUAUGCUACCAUUCCUCAAGGUGACCAGUCAGUAACCUGGAGGCAGGUUGACUACAUUGACUACUCUCUCUAUGGAAAGGACAACAUUUUGUUUUGACUGGAGUAGAUACUUCUUCUGGUUAUGGAUUUGCCUUUCCUGCACAUAAUGCUUCUCCCCAAACCGUCAUCAAUAGAUUUCCAAAAUGCCUUUUCCACUGUCAUGUUAUUCCACACAGUACUCUUUCUGAUCAAAAACUCAUUUCACAGCCAGAGAAAUGUGACAGUGUGCCUAACAAUAAUGGAAAUUACUGGCCUUACCAUGUUACCCAUGAUCCUGAAGCAGCUAGUCUGAUAAAAAGAUAUAACAGCCUUUUGAAGACAUCGUUGCAGCACCAAUUAGAUGGUGCCAGCAUGGAGGGCUGGGACAGAGUUCUUUAGAUGCUUUGAAUCAGCAUCCAAAAUAUGGUAUAGUUUCUCCUAUAGCCAGGAUCCAGGGAUCUAGGAAUGAAGGGGUGGAAAAAGGAAUCAUUCCACUCACUCUUACUCCUAGUGACCUUCUAGGAAAUUUUUUGCCUCCUGUCCCUACAAUUCUAGGUUCUGCUGGCUUAGAAGUUUUAAUUCCAGAAGGGGGAGUGUUCCUACCAGAAGCCACAACAAACAUUCCAUUGAACUGGAAGCUCAGACUUCCCCCUGUUUAUUUUGGGUUUCUAAUGCCCUUAAACUAAUAUACUAAAAAAUGAAUAGCAGUGUUACAAGGGAUGAUAGAUCCAGAUUCAUUGGGGAAAGUAGAUUGCCUCUCCACAAUGGAGGUAAGAAGGUUUAUGUCUGGUGUGUAGGAUAUCAUUUAGGAAGUCUCUUAGUACUACCAUGUCUUGUGAUUAAAGACAAUGCAAAACAUUAACAGGCUAAUUCUAUCAGGAUGACAAAGUGUACAGACCCAUUAGGAAUUAAGGUAUGGGUCACCCCCCUCCCCCAGGAAAAGAAUCAAAACUAGCUGAGGUGCUUGCUGAAGGUUUAGGAAACGCAGAAUGGGUAGUAGAGGAAGGUAGAUUGAAAUACCAUCUAAGUCCUAUGACCAGUUGCAGUAAAGAGGAUUAUAAAGUAAUAUAAGUGCUUUUGUUUUAUUUUGUUAAUAACAGAUUUGUAUAGAUAUUUGUGCUUUCUUUCAAUUUCUUCAACAUCAAUUGGUAUUUAAGUUGAGAUACUAAAAAAAUGUUCCCAAGGAACAUUGACCUAUUCUACAUUUACAUAUGUGCUUGUGAUUGUAGGGGCAAAGGUUAUAUCUUGUUAGCAUAUUUAUGACCUGGUUAUUUUUGUUUGCACAUGAGAUAUGACUUGUGUCAAGUUGACAAUGGGUGGAUUGUAAUAGCUAUUCCUGGUUGCCAACUUUACUAUAUCCGUAGUGAACUACACUCUAGAAUUGGAAGGCACACCUGUGUUCCAGGUCUAGAGGCUAGAAGACACAAGUUUCUGAUCUGGAUAUUGUCAUGGAGAUUUUGAGGCAUAGUGGCCAUGAAAAUCUUAGGCCCAGGAAACACAGUGCACAUCUUAAAUCCUAGGAGACUGAGGCAAGGAGAUCUCUGAAUUCAAGAUCAACCUAGGAUAAAGCAAAUCCUUGAACCAGUUGUGGUGGUACACACCUUUAAUCUGGGCUACACUCUCUCCUAGUACCUACAUAAGUACAUUGCAAAAAGGCAGACUCACUCUUCUUUGACUGAAUGCACUUACUUGGCAGCACAUCCAUGGAAACCUCCUUCUACAGAAUAUCAGCUUAAACAACCAGCUCACAAUGCCAGUUCAGUCUUGUGGGGCUGAGCAACUAUUAGAUUCUUGGACUUCCCAUCCAUACCUGCCCAUUGUUGGUUUAGUUGAAGCACAGACUGUAAGUUAUCACAAUAAACUCCCUUAAUAUAUAGACAUUCCAUAAUAUCCAUUACUCUAGAGAACCCUGACUAAUGUAUACAGAAAGUUCAAAAAUAAUAUAUUAAAACAUAAGAAAACUUCUCUUGGCAGACAAAGUAUGAAUCUCAGAAUCCUCAUGAAGAAGGAGAAUGGAAUAGCAAAUGGAAAAACGAUGUUGUUUCAAAAGGCAUGGAUGACACACAUGGAUGAAUUGCCACUUGUUGAUACAAAAUGGGCAAUGUUAGAAAACUAUUGAGGAAGCCAAUUUUUCAAAACUUGUAUACUUCAGUUCGGCCAAAAGAUAAAAAUUAGUUGUUCAUGUUCAGCCUAACUAAAGAAUACAGACCCAGCUCUUCUCAAGAAGUGUUCUAGGAAAGUAAGAAGUAGUACAUUAACUGAUGUAAAAAUAACAAUUUUGAUUUUUUUUGAGAUAAGUUUUUUCUAUAUAGCCUUGAAUGUUCUGGAAAUCACUAUGUAGGCACAGAUGUCUUUGAAGAUAUAAGAUCAAUUUGCCUCUUCCUCAUAAGUGCUGGAAUUGAUUAUGAGAUGAACCAUCAUAUUUGUCUAUGAGAAAUAAUCUACCAAUCUCUUUAGUUUGAUGUAAAAAGGGUUCCAUCCCUGGGCAAUUAACCUUGCACACCUGGAAUAUAAGGUUUUCACAAAGGUCAAAAUUCAUAUCUUCAAACCAUUAUUUUCUAAAGUGAGUUUUUUGCUACUCUAACUCAUCUCUGAACAUAAUUUAUGAGAUACAUCAUGCAUCUAAACCUCCAAAUACUUUUGGUAGCACUGGUUAUUUGAAAUGAGAAGGCUAUAAAGAACCUAGAGGAAAUUUUAGAUUCUAGACAAAAAAGAUGUUUCACACUAAAAAAGUCUUUUCACACUAAAUAUUGUAUUUAGUGUCUACCUCUUCAUCUUACCAGAGGGUCGUCUGCAUCAGUAUUAUAAAAAAAAUGUUCUGAGUCCCUGUUCACAGUAUGAAAAAUCAUUUUUGAGUGGAUCUGUGGGUUUGUAAUCCAUUGUCAAGGGGACUACCAUCACUGAACUCUAUAGUCCAUAUUCUCUGAUUUUACUCUGCUUCUGGGUUACAUUCUCCACAUACUACUCCAUAUACUGCACUUUUAGAUAUAGCAUAAUUUUAAGUAUAAAUUAUUAUGAUUCACAUGUUAAUACAAGAAGCUCAACAAAAACCACAUAAAUAUCUGUGCACAACUAUCCACACCCCAAUCUGGCCUGUAGUGAGCUGAUCUUCCAGGAGGGUUAACAUAUCCAAGAUGAUAGAUGAAACCACCACUGCUGGCUGAAUACUGGGUGCAAAUUGAACCCACCUGGAGUCCACAGGAUACAGGAUAUGUGGAACAGGUGGGCACAGGAUUAUUUCUGUUUCCAUCUGUGCCCCGGAUCUAAACCUGUGUAAUAACAAUUCAGCCCCCAAUUCCACCCAGAAAAAGCUGGUCUCCCAGGAGUGUUGACACACCUAAGAUCACAGGCUCACAGGCUCACAGGAGGAACAAGCUUCAGUCAGAGACAGCAAUAUCAGCUAACACCAGAGAUAACCAUAUGACAAGAGGCAAACCAGAGAACAUAAGCAAAACAAACAAGCAAACAAACAAACAAACAAAAAACCCAAGAAUAAUUGGCCUCAUCAGAACACAGUUCUUUCACAAUCACCAGUCCUGGAUACCCCAAAACACCUGAAAGGCAAGGUUCUAAUAUAAAAUCACAUCUUAUAAGGGUGAUAGGGGAUUUUAAGAAGGAUAUGAAUAACUUCCUUAAAGAAAUACAGGUAAACAGGUAGAAGCCAUUAGAGAAGAAACACAUAUAUUCCAUAAAACAAUACAGAAAAACACAGCCAAACUGUUGAAGGAAUUGAACAAACCAUACAGGUUCUAAAAAUGGGAAUAGAAAGAAUAAAGAAAUCACAAAGGGAGGCAACCCUGGAGAUAGAAAACCUAUGAAACAGAUCAAAAGUCACUAACAGAAUACAUGAGGUAGAAGAGAGAAUCUCAGAUGUAGAAGAUAGCAUAGAAAACAUUGACACAACAGUCAAACAAAAUGCAAAAUGUGAAAAUCUUAUAAUCAAAAACAUCCAGGAAUUUCAGGACACAAUGAAAAGACAAAAGGCAAGGAAAAUAGAAAUGCAAGACAGGAAAGAUUGCCUACUGAAAGGGCCAGUAAACAUCUUUAACAAAAUUAUAGAAAAAAACUUUCCUAAUUUAAAGAAAGAGAUGCCCAUAAACAUAAAGAAAGGCUAUAGAACUCCACAUAUUUUGGACCAGAAAAGAAAUUCCUAAUGUCACAUAAUAAUCAAAACACCAAAUGCACAAAACAAACAAAAAAAGAACAUUAAAAGCAGUAAGUGAAAAAGUAACAUAUAAAGGCAGACCUAUCAGAAUUACACCAGACUUCUCACCAUAGACUAUGAAAGCUAGGGGAUCCUGGGCAGAGCUCAUAGAGAGCCUAAGAAAAUACAAAUGCCAAACCAGACUACUAUACCCAGCAAAACUCUCAAUUACCAUAGAUGGAGAAAUCAAGGUAUUCCAUAACAAAACCAAAUUUAUACAAUAUCUUUCUACAAAUCCAGCUCUACAAACGAUAAUAGAUGAAAAACACCAACACAAGGAGGGAAACAACAUCCUUGAAAAAGCAAGAAAGUAAUCUUUUUUCAACAAACCCAAAAGAAGAUAAACACACAAACAUAAAAAGAAUAUCAAAAAUAACAUGAAUCACUUCUCCUUAAUAUCUCUUUAUAUCAAUGGACUCAUUUCUCCAAUAAAAAUACAUAGAUUAACAGACUGGAUACAUAAAAAGAACCCAGCAUUUUACUGCAUACCGGAAACACACCUCAGUGUUCUAUCAAAUACAGCCAAUACCUCAUAGUAAAAUACUGGAAAAAAAUUUCAUACAAAUGGUCCCAAGAGAAAAGGUGAAGUAGCCAUUCUAAAAUCUAAUAAAAUCAACUUUCAGCAAAACGCUUUCAAAAAAGAAGAAAGACAUUUCAUACUCAUCAAAGAAAAACAUCUAACAAAAUCUCAAUUUUGAACAUCUAUGCUCCAAACACAAGGCUAUUUCAUAAGAGAAAUUGUACUAAAGCUCAAAGCACACAUUACCCUCACACAAUAAUAGUGGGAGACUUCAACACCUCACUUUCAGCAAUAGACAGACCAUAGAAACAGACACUAGAAAGAGACACAUGAAACUAGCAGAAGCUGUGAACUUAAUGGAUUUAACAGAUAUUUAUAGAACAUUUUAUCAUAAAACAAAAGAAUAUACAUUAUUCUCAGCACCUCAUGGAUCCUUCUCCAAAAUUGACCAUAUAAUUGGUCACAAAGCAGGCUUCAAUAUAUACAAGAAGAUUGAAAUGAUCCCAUGAAUCCUAUCAGAUCACCACAGGCUUAGGAUGGUCUCCAAUAACAAAAAAAAAAAAAAAAAAAAAAAAAAAAAAAAAAAAAAAAAAAAAAAAAAAAAACAGAAA